rnacentral:lncRNA from 1 species
AGUGGUGUGAGUGGUUCUUUGAUCUGUGGUGCCAUUGGCUAUUCGCAGUGAGGCUACUGGGUUUGACUGUAUGUUCUCUUGGUCCCUAGUCAUUCAGAUCCUUGCUGUGUAUAUUGGCUUCAGUAGAUUCAGGUUCGCUGUUUGGAGUAGGAUACACCUAGAUAGAAUCUAUCGACCUUAAUAGAAAAGGAGAAGUCCUAUGUGAUUUGCGAGACUGAGUUCAGAAAGUCUUUGACCAAAGUAAGUGUGAAUACUAAAAAUGUAUUUUCACGAGAUUCAUAAAUGAACUCGAGUCG